rnacentral:tRNA from 1 species
GAAUAAUUAGCUCAAUGGUAGAGUAUUUCGUUUACACCGAAAAUGUUAGCGGUUCGAGUCCGUUAUUAUUCA